rnacentral:misc_RNA from 1 species
AAAAGUUAGGGUUUUAGCUCUUAUCAUCACAUGACAUAACCAUGGCAGAAGAGAAAGCAGCUGAACCCACCGAGUUCAACCAGGGGCGACUCGACCCAGUCUCAGAAGACAUGGAUCUCGUGGAGGAAUCGGCCGCGAAUGCCGCGAAACGAGCAAGGGAGGAGGAAGGAAAAGACGAUGUGUCGAAGAAGCAGAAGGUGGACAAGUCAGUUGAGGAAGAGAGAUUAGAGAAUCUUGAGGGAGAGCAUAAGGAAGACGACGAGGAAGGGGAGGAAGAGAAGGAGGAGACAGCUCCGGUUAGUUUGGGUCCGAAGAGUUUCGGAUCCGCGGUGGAGAUGUUUGAUUACUUCUAUAAUUUCCUUCAUUAUUGGCCUCCAAAUAUCAAUGUCAACAAGGUAAUAUUUUGAUAUUUUGGUGAUUAAAUUAAGAGUUAUCGUCGACGAUAACCUUGAAUUUCAAGUUUUUGGGUUGUGAAUAGACGUAAAAACAAUGAGAAUUAAGUUAAUGUGGAACUGGUUUCAUUGCUUGGGUAUGAUGAAGUGUCAUGAGUUUUUCCCCUGUUUGGUUGCUUAGAAAGUAGGGGUAGGAUAAGGAGAAAGAAGGGAAGUUUUUUGGUUUUGAACGUGGUAAACAUGUAAUUGAUUAAAUUCACUGCACUAAUUGGGAUUAAUGUAGCAUGAAAGGUUGAGAAAUUAUUGAAAUGUCUACACAGUGCUGUAGUAGUCUUGCGAAUUAGAUGAUUGCUCAUUGGACUGAACUUAUCAGAUCCAAGAAGAGUAAUGAAAAGUAAAACCUCCCACGUGGUAGUUGUUAAUGAAUAUAGCAAAGUGUAGGUUUUAGGGGCUGCUGCAUUUGUUUUUGUAAAUCAUUUUCAAUGGAUAAAAUCAUUAUACAAUGAUAUUGACUCCCAUUAUAAUCUCUGCCUAUCUUUCACUAGCUCACUUCCUAGACCUAGAACACACAUUUUAAUCGCUAGAUAGAUGCGCCAAAAUCCUUGAAGUUUCUGAACUUAUAAUUAUGUAAUCAUUUACUCAAGCGUGACAUGUAACUUUCAAUACACUCAUUUCACACUCUGCUUGUGUUAAUGAAAGAUCUAGUUGAAGUUAGAUCAAUAAUGUUACUGUGAAAGGCAUGAAAUGAAAUCCAUGUGAUUCCUAUUAGAAAGCAGCAUCUUUUAUGGAAUAAGUGCAAACUUAAUCUUCCUGGUUCUUAGCUCCAGUAAAACAUGACUGUGCAGUAAUUCCCUUCUCAACUCUCAAAUCUUAGUCACUGGUCUAUUAUUGCCCUGAAUGCACAAAUAUAAUGUCUUAGAGUUGUGAUUUAUUAUCAUCAUAGAUGAAUUUUGAUGGCUGACUGGCUGGAUGAUGCAAAUGUUUCACCUGCUGAUUUUGAAGCCUUUUGUUAUCCAUAUAAAUAUGUUAUUUGAUUCUUGGUAAACAUUACAGUAUGAGCAGAUGGUGUUGCUAGACUUGCUUAAGAAGGGCCAUUCAGAACCUGAGAAAAAGAUUGGUGUUGGAAUCCAAGCUUUCCAAGUCCGAUAUCAUCCAAUGUGGAAGAGUAGAUGCUUCUUUCUGAUUAGGGAUGAUGAUUCUGUUGAUGAUUUCAGCUUCAGGAAGUGUGUGGAUAAAAUACUUCCACUGCCUGAGGACAUGAAAAUAAAAUCUGAUGGAAACAAUAAGGGUUAUGGUGGAAAAGGUAGUGGUGGUGGAAGAGGAGGUCGAGGUCGAGGCCGAGGCCGAGGCCGUGGCCAUGGCCGUGGAAGAGGUGGUAAAUCAAGAAACUGAAGCAUUUUCUUUGUUUUACUCAGGGUAAGAGGCAUGAGGAAGGAAGAAAAAAAAAUAGAAUCACUUGUUUUUCUUCUGUAUUUACCCAGCUAAGCUACUAUUUUUGUCCUAGUUUUGACUCUCAAACUUCAAUGGUUUCUGAAUAGUGUUGGAGACCCUUAGUUUUGGCUAUUUUAUCUCUUGCUGUUUUGAGUUGUGCAUUCUCUGCCACUGUUUUCCGACCAUAUUCCUUCCUCCAAAUGCAAUUUCAACUGUCGUGUAUUGCUAUUUUCAGAACUUCAAAUACGUUUUUAGGUUAGACAUCAGAGCUGUUCCGCAGUUCAUUGCCGUUGAAAGGAUUCUGGAUUUGAGUUUAAAUUGCUUAAAGUGAGAUUCCAAAUGUAAGGCGGUUUGGUUGGUUAAAAUUAUA